AGAGUUUGAUCAUGGCUCAGAUUGAACGCUGGCGGCAUGCCUUACACAUGCAAGUCGAACGGUAACAGGUUAAGCUGACGAGUGGCGAACGGGUGAGUAAUGCAUCGGAACGUGCCCAGUCGUGGGGGAUAACUACUCGAAAGAGUGGCUAAUACCGCAUGAGACCUGAGGGUGAAAGCGGGGGAUCGCAAGACCUCGCGCGAUUGGAGCGGCCGAUAUCAGAUUAGCUAGUUGGCGGGGUAAAAGCCCACCAAGGCGACGAUCUGUAGCUGGUCUGAGAGGACGACCAGCCACACUGGGACUGAGACACGGCCCAGACUCCUACGGGAGGCAGCAGUGGGGAAUUUUGGACAAUGGACGAAAGUCUGAUCCAGCCAUGCCGCGUGCGGGAAGAAGGCCUUCGGGUUGUAAACCGCUUUUGUCAGGGAAGAAACGACGUCCUCUAAUACAGGGUGUUAAUGACGGUACCUGAAGAAUAAGCACCGGCUAACUACGUGCCAGCAGCCGCGGUAAUACGUAGGGUGCAAGCGUUAAUCGGAAUUACUGGGCGUAAAGCGUGCGCAGGCGGUUAUGCAAGACAGAUGUGAAAUCCCCGGGCUCAACCUGGGAACUGCAUUUGUGACUGCAUGGCUAGAGUACGGUAGAGGGGGAUGGAAUUCCGCGUGUAGCAGUGAAAUGCGUAGAUAUGCGGAGGAACACCGAUGGCGAAGGCAAUCCCCUGGACCUGUACUGACGCUCAUGCACGAAAGCGUGGGGAGCAAACAGGAUUAGAUACCCUGGUAGUCCACGCCCUAAACGAUGUCAACUGGUUGUUGGGAGGGUUUCUUCUCAGUAACGUAGCUAACGCGUGAAGUUGACCGCCUGGGGAGUACGGCCGCAAGGUUGAAACUCAAAGGAGUUGACGGGGACCCGCACAAGCGGUGGAUGAUGUGGUUUAAUUCGAUGCAACGCGAAAAACCUUACCUACCCUUGACAUGUCUGGAAUCCUGAAGAGAUUUGGGAGUGCUCGAAAGAGAGCCAGAACACAGGUGCUGCAUGGCCGUCGUCAGCUCGUGUCGUGAGAUGUUGGGUUAAGUCCCGCAACGAGCGCAACCCUUGUCAUUAGUUGCUACGAAAGGGCACUCUAAUGAGACUGCCGGUGACAAACCGGAGGAAGGUGGGGAUGACGUCAGGUCAUCAUGGCCCUUAUGGGUAGGGCUACACACGUCAUACAAUGGCCGGUACAGAGGGCUGCCAACCCGCGAGGGGGAGCCAAUCCCAGAAAACCGGUCGUAGUCCGGAUCGUAGUCUGCAACUCGACUGCGUGAAGUCGGAAUCGCUAGUAAUCGCGGAUCAGCUUGCCGCGGUGAAUACGUUCCCGGGUCUUGUACACACCGCCCGUCACACCAUGGGAGCGGGUUCUGCCAGAAGUAGUUAGCCUAACCGCAAGGGAGGCGAUUACCACGGCAGGGUUCGUGACUGGGGUGAAGUCGUAACAAGGUA
rnacentral:rRNA from 1 species